CGGCCCCCCUCCCCCCAGCGCCGCCACUUCUCAGUCCCCGGGGACGCAGGGGACCAGGGCUACGAAGCAAGGCCCAGCAGCAGCGACUCCACUUCUCCCUGCAGGAAAUCCUUGUAAAGAGCACAGCAGACGUCUUGAUGACGCAAAGCAUGACUGGUGGCAUGAGUGACGGGGAGCGAGAGGGCGAGGCAAAGGGGAGAAUUUAAGAAGAAUGUGCGUAGGCCGUUCUGAUUGUUUAUUCCAGGUGAUGCAUAAUUUCUUGAAAAGCAUCUGAGUAGGAAACAGAUGGAAAGUUUUGAGUAAUCCAUACUGUAAGGAGAAGUACUCUAAAUGGCUUCAAAUAACUUGAUGUUUCUUUCACCCGCAUAUCAAACUUAAAAAAAAAAAAGUCACAGUAAUCUCAUUAUCCAAUUCAUCUGUGUUUUAACAUAACGCAAGUACAAACGGAUGUAUACUCUGCUUUCAGGAAAGCAAUUUCCUCAUCCAGUGCCUGCUCUAUGCCGGUAAAAGAGUUUAACUGAAGUGGACACCUGGCUUUCCAAGUGUAGGAAAGAUAGGGUGUUGCCUUCUUGGAAACUGCGCAAGAAUAAAUACGUGCCAGUGUUCGUUUGAGGAUUAUAUAACCAGUGGUCUGGCCUCACUGAGAGUACUGGACAAAGUAUUUCACUAUUGCAGAAGGGCUGUCCUCCUUUUCAGCGCAUUGGUUUGCUAUGCUCUGCAGAGAACAAGGCGUGGGGCUGGAGCGAGGAAAUCGGUAAGAACUUGGAAUGAAUAGCCUGAGGUGCGGAAAGGCGACCCAGGAUGUUGGAUUCCACUGUGAUCACAAAUGAUUGUUUAAAGGGGAAAACAAGGAGAAAAUUUGAGAAACCUGGAACAAAGUGGGAAAAAAUAAUGGAGGCGUCCUUACCAAUGCCCAGUCACAGACAGUGCUGGCCCCACAGAGAGAAUGCAGCUACCCGAGAGAACACAGAUAGAGGUGCUCAAGUUAGAGAGAGCUGCAGCAUCACUCAGUCAUUUGCAUCAGAAAGUAAAGCAGCUGUUCAAAAAUUUGCAAAGCAAAUUGGAGGGAAGCCAAGACUUUCAUAGAAAUUAGUUGAUGGAGAUUUCCUACAUGGAGACUUUUUCUUCAGCAAGUACAUAAACUGCAGCACAGACCUGUCUGCGAUGAGCAUUAAGAGCCCUGAAAUAAAGUAUGGGGCUCAACAGGGACUCUGAACAAUGUGGACCACCCAGAAGAGGGAGUCCAGGAAGAAUGCAGACUGUUCUCUCAGCCACAAUGCUGAGGUUUAAAACGUAUUAGUUCUUUAAUGAGGAAGAACAAGAAAUUGAGGGCAAAACACUCUGAAAUCUUUAGUUAUAAAGGCUCCAUUACAGUAUGGCUUUAGUUAUUCUUUUUUAAAAAUCCUCGUGCUCUUUAUAAAGUCAUAGUGAAAUCAGUCUGGUGCUUGACAUUGAAGAAACAGUGACCCAGACUUGGACAGACCCUGCCCUCAUGGAGUUUACGAUCCAAUAGGAGAGACUGACAUUAUACAAGUAAUCACACAAAUGUCAUUGCAAGAUUUGAUAAGUGUGUAGAAGAAAAAGAAGGGGUCAGUGAGGACAAUGUCAGAGGACUUUUGGAUUUAGGAGUCAGAGACAAGUUCUUUGAGAGAGCGACAGUAAUGCCGUGCCCUGAAGGAUCAGGGGGUAUUCGCCAGGAGAAGAGCUGCAGUAGACAAUACCUGGAACAGCAUGCUGAGGCUUAGGGAUGGGAACUGUGGGGUGUGGUCCAGGGACUGGGAGAGGCCUAUACUUGGAGCAUCCUCAGUGAGAUGGAGAGCUGGGGUGGUGGGGACACUGUGGGAUAUAAGGGAAGAGCUGGACCCCCAAGGAUUGUGUGGGCAACGUUAGCAUCUUCAUUUUUUCCCAAACACAGGGUAAGUCAUGGAAGGGAUUUAGGCACACAAGCGACAUAUUCCAAUUUAUAUUUUUAACGGAUCAUCCCAAUUGCAGUGUGGAAAACGAGUCUGUGGGUCUAGAAAGGAAAAGAGAAGUCUAUCAGGGAGGCUUUCAGCCUGGCCAUCAGAGUCAAGGUCAUGGCGAACACAACCAAAUACAGAGACCCCUUUGCUAAUACUAGAUCCUGAAAAGGUCAUGUCUGUCUUGGAGAGGGGGACUCCCCAUUCUACAAAAUGGCACCAAAACCACAGACGAGAUCACUGAUGUAAAGUUCCUCAAGCAAUAAAACAUUUUUUGGAUUACAUUUUGUUUAAUCAAAAAGUAUCAAGAAUGCGAUUUAGCCAUUAUGAAGUUUGUGAAAAGAAUGAGUGGGUUUGACCCACUGAAAUAAGUAGCUAGGAAUGUGAUGCUGGAGGCUGAGGGGCCCCCUGAAUUCAGGACAGUGGAGCAAUAGAUAGAGGAAUUAGGGAGACAGCAAAUCACUGCAGCAAUGUUAUUGAAAGUAAUAUUGAUGAUUUUGACUUCUGCUGGCAAAGAAUGCUCCAAAUAUUUCACUGCUGAGUUCAGCUUUCCAUGACUGUAGUCAGCCCUGUUGCCCUCGGAGGCAGUGCAGGAUCUGGCCCAAUCAAAGGACAAGACAGAGGUAGGGUUGUGACCUUCUUGGGUCCUCAGCGCUUUUGACUUUGUGGGCCCCUUCCUCUAUAAACACAAUAUUAUGGAUACUAAGUAGGUCUGCUAAAACACACAAAUUUUACUACUGCAUUGGUUUUUUAUAUAUAUAUAUAUAUAAAAAAUAUAUGUAUAACCAUAUAUAUGAUAUACAUUAUAUAUAUAUCUCACCCAGGCUAGUGAGAUAUAUAUUGUUUUCUUCUGAUUUUAGGAGAAAAUCUAAAUUUGUGGGCCCUGAAAGUUGAUAUGUCAGCCCUGCAGAGGGCAGACUCCAGGAAUCACAGGCAGGUGAGUCCCCAGGGAGGAGAGGGGGAUUUAAACAUGCCAUUACUCUUAGAGGGUCUCUACCCAUGGAAACAUAGCUGGUUGUCCCUCUGAGUACACUAGCAUCCCAACAAAUGUUCUGGCCGUAGGUGACCAGAUGCAUGUACCAACAGAUUCGUGUUCCCACAGAUCCGUGUACCAAGCUGCACUAAGAGAAUCAGUCUGGUAACCUAAAAUAAUGUGAAUGUUUUCCAACUGAUAAACACUUAAGCCGAAUUAAAUUUAAAGGAGUUUAAUUGAGCAACGAAUGACUGGGGGCAAAUUGGGCAGCCCACAGAAUCACAGCAGAUUCACAGAGACUCCACGGGUGCCUCAUGGUCAGAACAAAUUUAUAGACAAAAAAGGUAAAGUGACAUACAGGAAUUGGAAGUUUGAUACAGAAACAGUGGGAUUGGUUACAGCUCAGUGUUUGCCUUAUUUGAAUGCGUUUUGAACAUUCAGCAGUCUGUGAGUGGUUGAAGUAUGGCCACUGGGAUUGGCCAGCACUCAGCCAUUGUUACAGGUGCAUACUAUUUAGGAUUUCAAUUUUGUCUUGACUGGUAAGCUAGAUUACAGUUCACCCACAAGGACUCAAAUAUAGAAGUAAGGAGUCCUUCUUAGGCCAUAUUUAGUAUGUUUUAACACAACCUUUGUAUCUCUUGAACGUUAAUUGAAAUCUAAUGUAUAACUUGUCACAACAUUUCUAGAAAAGGAUGUUUCCUCCUACUUCCCUCAAACCCACAAUGGCUUUCUCCAAAACCCACUAAAUUCUGACCCCAGUAUCGCUUCUCUGACUGUCUUCCCCAGAAUGUCUGUCUUCCUUUUGUUUCCUCUCUACCCAUUCCCCAGCUUGCUCUCAACAAGACACAGAGAGCAGUCUAGAGAGGAAAACAUACUUUCUCUGAGGGGUAGAGAGAGGGGAAGAGGGAAGGCUGAGAACACCUCUUGUCAGUUUCUGCCCUGUCACAACUGCAAAAGCUAAAAGCCCUUUAAAAAAUAAGUCAUUUUGUUAAAAUGCCAACACAGAAUGUACUUCUAGAAAGGCCCUUUGCUGAGACCAGUUUGUCAGGAAGCUGCUAGGAGAGGCAGGGAACACAGGCGAGUGGGUGCAGUGCUAGAGAGGCUGGUGCUGUUUCUCAGUCUGACACAUUCGUGGAGAACUGCUGCAGGGAGACCCCGUUCCUGAGUGAAAGGAGAUCAAAGGGCAAUGUCAUCCAGCCCUCCACAUGGAAGUUUCUUUCAGUUCCUGGGGUACAGAAUUCUCCAGGCACUUGGUGGCAGAACAGAGGGUUCCUUUCUUGCAGAUGAACCAGAAUUGAGAAACACCAGAAUUAAGUACAGACUGCAAAGUAUGCAAUCUGUAAUGCAAAGGCAUGGAAAAGGCAUGGAAAUAUUUGAGGAAGGCAGUGCAUUUUAGACAAUCUGUCUCAAGGAACCUUAUUCCCAUCUGGAGGAUGCUCUAUUUGUCAUGCAGGGACAAGUGGUAAGUGCGUAUUUAAACAGCUGGUGCUUUUAGACUCAACAGCAUGGCCUUAGGAUCAGGUCUCCAGCCCUGCAAGGGCAUGAAACUCCCAACACAACCUGCGUUUCCAGGGAGGAUGAGGCUUCCCCACUCAGACAAUGAGAAGUCUGUAGUUUUACACCUUUGAGGAAACAGAUCCAAGCCUGCUGAUAAUGUAGGAGCUCAAGAAAUAUCUAACUUGAAGGUAUAGUUGCUGAUUCUCACAGGCUAAGAGUGACAGGUCAUCAUUGUAUCAUUACAAGCUUGAACAAAGAGCUGCAGGGCUCCAGAGCAGUUGGUGUUCCAUACAUGCAUAUUUCUGUUCACCAGGGAGACACUGUAGCUCCAUCUGCUUGAAAAAGACGUCAAAAUAGCCUGGACUCAGAACUGUCAACACAUCUCUGGAGGGUCGUGCUGGGUCUUCCUGUGAAGCAUGUCCCAUCAGCGGCAAAAUGAAGCCAACCCAGCUAGUGAUGAAGGUGUCUAGGGUCAGGCUCUACAAUUUUUGAAAACUUGAUGGAUAAAUUGCCCUAACAUUUAAAAGCUGCAAUAAUUUCACACGCAGUGGAAACUAUUACUCUCUUAGGGUAGACUAUUCCAGCAUUCCAGGAAAACAGAAUUAUUCGGUAUCUCACCAGGUGGUUGAGGAAACAAGCAGUGUGAUAUUACAAAUAGGACUUUCAUAGGGCACAGACUCAGGUGUGCAAAACAUGUGACUAAAUCACUGGGUGCCUCUGAUCCCUCAUUUGUAAAGUAGGGAUUGUAUUCCUAUCUCAAAGAUUGUGAUGAAGAUUAAAUAAACUAAUGCAGGGAGACGUUUUGCCUGGCAUAUACUUAAGUACUGAAUAAAGGUUAGCUAUUACCCCCAGUUACACACACUCACACGUGCAUGUGCACACACACGUAUACAUUUAGAUUGUAUCUCAAGCCCAAUCCACCUGGCAGCAGAUACUCAGUCCUCCUCAACUGAGAGGAAACUCAAAGUUCUUGUAGCAGCUUAGAAGAACAAUAGCAUUGGGACUGACACUCACCUUAGGCAUCCCUGUCUGCUCUAUUACCUAUCUUUGUUCCUGGCAUCUCUGCCAAGAGUUUCAAAGGACUGUUUUGAAAUACUCCACCUGAACGUUACCUAGUUUGUUUGUUUGUUUUUGUUGUUUUUGUUUUUUGGGGUUUGUUGUUGUUGAUUUUUGUUUUUUGGGGGGGGUUGUUUGUGUGUUUGUUUGUUUUUGCACUCCUGCGAUAAGAGCUCAACUCCAAAGGCAGGGAGUCCUCACUGGUACAUGAAGAGCGAGAAAAGAAAUUGCAUGAGGAAAGCACAUCAGCUCAUAGUUCAAAUUGUCCUGACAUAACAGGAACAUGACUCUUUUCUAGUACUUUACAAUUCCCAUGGAGUGUUUGCUUACAUCGUCUACAAGCUGGU
ensembl:lincRNA